rnacentral:lncRNA from 1 species
AUGUAUCGUCUCUAUUUUCAAUAUCUGAACAUACAAGGAAACUAUAAUCUCUUCUUUCACCUUAUCGGUCUCUUCCUUACAGCAAUUCAGCCAUACCAAUAACUGCUAUUUCCACCAAUAUAUUCACCCUCAUAAUCUCCAACUGUAGUACUGUGCCCUCACAACUUUCAGCACAUAAUUAUCCUCAUUCCAAUCACUGGAAUUCUUCACACAGAACUGCCAUUCACAUUACAAUGUUUCAUACAAACACAAACUUAUUCUCUCUGCUAAACUACAAUCAGAUUUCAGCAUUCAAUCUUUUUUUUUUCAAAUAAUACCAAUCACAUUUCUAUUCCAUAAUUCACUUUACAAUAUUUAGAAACUCUCAAUCUUCUUAUUCAAAGAAAAUAACAAACAAAAGAAAAGAAGUAGCACUAAACUUACCCCGGCUCACAACUAUCACAGCGAUGGUCCUCGGCUCAUGACUAUCAUAGUCUAGUACCUUAAUUAACUUCUACAACUCCUAUAUACUUUCUUCUGAUUCUCCAAAUUCUAACCGUAAGUUUGUAAUCAACCACUUUUAAUAACUAAAUCACUUAUCCAUCCUCCUGAAUUUCCUAUUAUAUGGACUAUUAAUAUAUUUUACCAAUAUCUUUCAAAAACGAAUUAAUAUCUAUUCUACAUAGCUCCACUCCUAUCUAUGCAACAUCCUCGCAAAUACACAAUUGAUACCUAUCUAAAAAUUAUCUAACAAAACUCUACAAAAAUUACGAUCCCUCUGGCCUAUCUAAUUAAUCAAUUGUUGCAUUAUCUAUUACUGGUUCCAUCGAUUCCGGUUUGAACUGCAAAUCUUUGUCCUCCUCCAAUCCUUCCAUCGGCUCCUGCCUCAUAUGAGCUGAAAGGUCUUCAUUAUACUCGCCCAGUUCACGGAGUUGAGCAUCCAGUUUCAAGAUCUAGACAUCCCGAAGUUCCAAUUGUUGUUGCUGUUGACUCAUCCAUUCUGGAAUAUCUUCAAUCGACACUUGUGACCGACUCCUCAUUGUUAACUCUUAUUUAGAACUACUACUCUUAAAAACACAAGAAAUACAAGAAAAUGGCACUCUAGCGAACCCAAAAUAACACCACAAAAUGACUUUAACUGGUGCCCUACUCCUAUUCUUUUACUACUUGGUGAUAAUGACAACAUAUUACCUAUACUAUCCGUGAAAGGUAAUGAAAAGUAAUCUUUCUUGGUGGCCGCAUUUAACUUUCAAAAAUCUUGACAUAUCCUGAUUUUUCCAUUCUUCUUCGGCACUAUCACGAUUGGCCACACCCAUGCACUAUGCGGAACAAGAUAAAUAAAAUCCACAUUAUCGAGGUAGAGAGAAUUUGCCUCAAGAAAACGUUGGGCUUCUAGCUAUCACUAAAUAUUCAAUCAAGCUUGAAAAUAAAGAAAGCCCUAAGUUUAUAUAUAAAUUUUCCCUUUCGAGUAAUUACACCCAAUACACAAUCUUCAAGUAACCCACAACUUCCAAAAUAUGAUAAAAUCUUCUAAAACCUCGUUUAUUCUUAUGUGGAGAUUUUUCCUAACUUCAACACCUCAUAUCUCCUAAUCCGACCGUCCAAAAUAACUCAAAUUUUACAUGAGGUACUGAUGUAUUUUUCUUAACUUCUACAACAAAUUUCAACCGCAAAUUCAUUGCGGAUCUUGAGAUAUCUUGAAAAUCCUAACAAUUGCUUCAAACCCUUAUCUUUAUACAUCCGUGUGUAAUUUUCUUCAUAUCUCACAAAAUAUAAGCUCAAAUACCACGAAAUUUAUAUAUACAGCUUUUUAACAGAAAAAUUUACAUUCUCCAAAAGUUUGAGCCAAAAAUUCAUCCGAAUACUCAAGUUAUGGCUCCAACCAUUACUAGAAACAAAACCGCUUACUUACUGCCUUUGAUUUGGAAGCACCGCCUUCAACUCCUUACAACUCCUUUAUAUAGACUCCAAAAGCAAUAAUUCUAUCAUAAAAGAUGUAGGCCUUGAAAUCGCCGUUCUAGUCGCAAUUUCCGAUCUUCAAAAGCUGCUGUAAAACUACUCGUACUCUCAAAAGAGUAACAGUAUGUCUUAAAUAAACACCUUAACUUCAAACGGCUAAAACUUUUUUACCUUAAUUCCAAAUCUUCUAGUUUUUGUACACAAAUUGUAUCCAAAAUCCUAAACUUUACAACCCUAGCUUCUAAUCUCUGAACACCCUCUUCGAAGUCACCAAAACCCUUCUUAAGGUCGCGGGUAGCCUCCUCAAAGCCCAUUGGGCAUGAUAUUCGACCAAUAGGAAUGAAGUUCUUCAUUCCUUGCCUUCAUCCGACCAUGCCUUGCUUUCAUCCCUCUCAAUUAGCCUCCUACUAGUUUAGAUUUUUAUCCUUAGGCUUCCACCUUCUCCCAAGGCUUCAUACUAAACAUUUAGGUCUUAUCUUUUUUUUAAUGUCAAAAUGAAAAGAAAUAAAGAAACAAAAUAAAAUUUUUUAUACCAACUUCUUUUAAUUUGAUUUACUAGCCACUCUAACACACAUCUAGAUUUAUUAACAUAUAGUACAUUUUAACUAAUUUUUACAUAUUAUAAGCAUUUACAAUACGACAACGUCGAGAAGUUUAUCUAAUUUUUCUUUCACUAAAAGGGAAUAUUUUGGAUUAAGCCGGUGUUGUCUUUGACGAACUAGCGUAAUACCGUCCUCCAAAAUAAUCUGGUGCUCACACACGUCCAUUGGAAUCCCUUUCAUAUCCGCAUAUGACCACACAAAGGAAGAUUUGUGACAAACAAAAAACUGUUUUCAAGCAUCCAAUUUUGUACCGAUAAUACCGGCAUAUAUUUUAAUUAGCUGUGGCAUUUUGUUGGUGCCCAGGUUAAUAGAUUGACACAUAGGGUCUUUAAGAACCUCUGAUUUAAUAGUCUUCUCCUGAUCUAAAUAUCUUGUAUUAUCCGACAUAUGUGAACCACCCAAAUCUGGUUCCAAUGUGCUGACUCUGUUGACUGCGGGAUUGUUCAUCCAUUUGAUAAUAGCAUGAUCCGAGUUAGUCGUAUCCUCUUAAUGUAGUAAAUAUUCACUAGGACCUCUACAUUGGUAGAUUCCUGCCUUUGUUGUUGAAGUAUUUUAUCCUAUCCCAAAUUGCGGUGAACCUAAAGCAUCGGCAUCUUCCUCAAUCGAUUGACUUUUGUUGUCCAAUGUAAAUUCUGAUUCUGGCAAUUGAAAUUCUCCAUGAUAUUGUAUCGGAUACAUCUGUAGAACAAUCUGGUCCCGGCCUUUUCCAAUUGUCAAUGUGCCUCGACCCCAAUCGUUCUUAGCUUUGGCUUGAUAAAGCCAAGGUCUGCCCAAUAAAAUGGGAUACGAUAACAUAGAAUUCUGUAAUCGAAAUACAAUAUAAUCGAUUUUGUAUGUCAAUAUUGCGAUUACAAUAGCAAUAUUUUGUAAGAUUCUCAUUGGCUUUACCCGACUAUGAUCUGCCAUUCGCAAGACCAAUAUCGUAGGUAGCAAUUACUUUAGAUUCAAGUCCUCCAUUGUAUCCACGUUCAUUAAAUUCACAUUGGAGCCACCAUCGACUUGUACCCGUGGAAUUAAAAUGCCAUCGAUUCAUACAUCGAUUGUUGGUGCUCCCGGAUCUGGGUUUAAGCUAAUUUCAUGAAUUUCUUUAGUGCGGAUCUUCAUCAUAUUAGCGGUGAAUUCAAUGUAAAUCGACAUUUUGAUGCUAUAGCCAAAAGUUGCUUCAUUAUAAUUGAAGGCUGAAUAACAUCCAAAUCCUUCAGAAUGUCAUAAGAUUCCAUAUUGAGAGUAAUUUCCAAUGCUCUUUUGCAUUUCAUUAGUUUCGAUUUUACUUCGAUUGGUAGCAAUUCUAUCAUGGCGAUUGGAAUUGUCGCUGGUAACUUUGCCAACUUUUCUACUACUAAAGGUUCCUUUAAUGCGUAAGAUCUUUUAUUGGGCUACAGAGGUAUUGGUACAUGGUCAGUUGGGAUCGAUCUUGAUGGUCCCGAUGAAUUGGCACGUUAUCGUAUGGCGUGAUUUGCUAUCUAGAAAUACACUGGAUAUCUAGCUGUAGAGAGUGUACCUUAAACCUUUACAUGAUUCUUUUCUUGGCUUCCAAAACUCCUUUAUUUUGGUAUAAAACUCCAAAUAUAACAAAAUCCCUUCAAAACAUAUUUUUCCCACGAAGGGUUUUUUCGCCUCAAAUUUUAGAAAAUCAUAACUAUUGAUCUAACCGUUCAGUUUGUUUCAAAUUUAUAAGAUAGGUAGAAUUUACCCUUGACUUGCACCACAAAAAAAAACAACCGCAAAUUCACUCCCGAUCUUUUGGCAUCUAAGAAACCCUAGCAGAUACUCCAAACCCUAAUUUACAAGCACCCGAAAACUAUUUUCCUUAUAUCUCAAAAACCCGAACUCCAAAUGUCAUAAAACUUAUGCAUAAAGUUUAUGAACAUGAAAUUACACAUUCCUUGAAAUUUUGAGCCAAAACCUCACAAAAUUGCUCAAUAUAUAGCUCAAGAGACAAACACUAGUAAAUCGGUUUACUUACUACCCUUAGAUUGCAUGUGCUGACUUCAAAAUCCAAUAACUCCUUUAUCCCAACUUGGAAUCCAGUAAGCAAUAUGUGAAAAGUAUAGCCGCAAAAGUGCUCUAUCUAGUCGCGGUCGCCGAUCCUCAAUUGCCAUCUGUACACGUGCGUUAUGCCCAAAAGAGUGAUAGCAGGUCCAAAACUAACACCUUAACUUUGAGCGCCUAUAACUUCUUCAUAAAAACCCCAAAUGACACAAAACUUGCACCAAAAGUUUAACCAAAAAUCUAAACCUUCUGACCUUAGCCUUCAAAGUUCAAAUGGCCUCGAGAAACUAACCCUAAUCCCUAAUAUGGCGUCGGGCAGCCUCCUCAAAGCCCAUUGGUCAUGAUUUUUGACCAAUAGGAAUGGAGAUUUUUAUUUUUCAUCUCCAUUCAUCUAUAUUGGUGCCCUAAUUACUCCCUUUGCUACCAAAAUCCUUCUUCAAUCCUUUUUCUUAUAAGAUUUACAUAAUGUAUGCUCUAAACACCAAAUAAAAGAACCAAAAUAAGUUUUCAAAUGUCACCAAUGUCUAACAAAGGUGACUCUAAAUAUUUAGAAGUUACUAUCAACCAAAACCAAUCUUAAAAGCCACUAUCAAAAAGAAAUUAAAGUUAUACAAACUCUAUAGUAAUCUUUUUAAACAACCUCUUUUAAAAGUAAUAAUCAAAUUAUAUUCUACAACCAACUAAAAUCUACUAACAUGGCUCUCACCAUGUUACUUAAUAAAUUAUAUAUUAAGUACAUAAUUACAUUAUUUUCAUAUAGUAGCCGAACCACAACACGAUAACGUGGAACCGAAUUGGAGUCCUUAGUUUGUUGAUGUCUCAAUAUUGGGAUACAUCCUAAUAUUGGUAUUGGUUCGUUUAGCCCCGCGGAUGACGCUACUUGCUCUCUUGCGAUUGGUUCAUCCAGGUCCUGAAUGGGAUUCUUGUCUUUUUGUUGGCCUUUGAUAAACACUGUGUUCACCAGCUCGACACGAUGUAAUAGUGAGUCUUGUUGAACAAGGCCUUUGUCCUCCAUUUGUUGGCUUAUUUGUAUUUGCUAUUCUUGGUUAUUAUAAUUAAAGGAUGCAUUGCACUAUUGAUAAGUGUGACCAAAUUGCUUACAAUUUCUACAUAUUGGAGCAUAGUCAUCACUGGCGUUUGGAUUAGGACAUUCAUUGACAUAAUGACCAAUUUGUCUGCAAUGGAAACAACGAAGUGGUCUCCUGCCAACUCCUUCAGGGAUAAUGGGUGUCUCUACUGGUAUAUAACGGCUAGGUGUGUUCCAUAUCGGAUGAGUAAAGGAUCCUGAUUGAUCCAUUGUUACUGUAGACUCUGGAAUUGGCUUCAUCAUGGGUAGAUAUUGAUGGUAUCUUGGUUGGUUCAUCGCCAAUCCGUGAGUAUUGGAUACACCUUCUUUGUGAAAUUCAGAGUUUAAAAAAUUGGAAUAAUUCUUGUUUUAUUUAUUCGCUCGAUUUCCAUUCUAGCCAAACCUAUUAUUCAUUUGUACUUGAUUGAUGUCCCACUGGGUUGGUGGAAUCAUGGUCUGAUUACUAAAUUGUUGUUGUUGUCUUUGCCAAUUCCAAUAAUUUGCUGUUAGGUACUUUCCUCCGUAAAAUGUACAUUGACUCAUUAUUUGUGAGGGUAAGGGGCAUUCUGUUACAAAAUGACCGUGGCCCUUAUAAUUACUGUACUAUACAUUAGUCCUAGUAUUGGUAGGCUUUUGCCUCUUCUCCUUAUCUUUGGCCAUAUUGAUGGCCAUUUCUUCCAUUUUCUUUGUCAAAUUCAAUAACAAGGUUUCAUUGGAAUCUUUUAGGGGUGGCAUUAUUGGUAUUUCUGUCAUAGUUAACGCUUGUUAUUGAUAUGGAAAAUAUGGAGCAUACGUUGUUGUCACGUUCGGUGGUAUAGCUUGUAAUGGGGUGACAUUAACUGGCCCCUGAAUAUUGGUAUUGGAAUUGGCCCCUGUUUCUAACAUCCGUGGAUAACUAUCCACUGAUUCAUUUCAAGUUGAAUUUUAAUAUCUAUCUUAAACUGGAAUCAUCUUGGCUCCCGCAGUUAAAAAGUGAUCAAAAUGGCAUUCCUUUCAAAUCUUGGAUCUAUUAAAAGAUACAGCCAAUGUAAUGAUUUGAGCUUCCUUUACAAACAUUUUUAGCUCUGGUGGGUGCAAACUAUUGAUUAAUAUGGAUAAGAUAAAUGCCUUCGGUAUUUGGUGAUUCGACCACUUACUAAGUAUAUCAGCCAUUCGGCCAUAGUAUGAUUUGACUACCUCCCUUAGGAUCAUUUUGCUGUUCAUUAACCUCUCUCAAAGGCGGUCCUCAAAACCAAUUGACCAAAAAUGAGAUAAAAAUACAUUCUUCAAUGCUUCCCAAUUCAAAAAUUGAUCCACUGGUUGGCAGUUAUACCAUUCAAAUGCCGUAUCUUUUAAGGUUGGUGGCAGCCAUCGCAACCAAAUAUCUUCAGUUCUACUAUUAUUAGCUACACAUGUUAUAAGAAACUGAGACAAAUGUUGAUCGGGAUCCACACCCAAAAAUCCUUGAAAAGUAGGUAGUGGUGUGACACUAGUGAUACAAUCGCCUAAUGUAUCCAUUUGUACUGCAAUCAGAAUGGCUGGUCCUCUUAACGCCAUUGAAUUUCUUGUUCUGCUAAACUCUGUUUUAAAAUAAUCUCUGUUUUUUUUUAUUCUAAUUUUUGAGCUCUCAAUGCUCCUCGAUUUACUGUUAUUUUUUUUAAUUAUUUUUAUUGGUUGAAUUACAGGUGAAAACGUCGGAUUUUAAAAUACAAUAUAAUUAUCUUUAUUGAUGACCAAUUUGUGCCAAUUUGAAGAGCCACUAUUGCUUGUUUCAGCGGUACCUCCUACUGGAAAAAUAUCCAAUGGAGUACCAAAUUCUUCUAUGCCUCUUUUUCUUUCAGUUAAUGGCCUCAAGAUUUCCAUUGGAAUGUUAACAAAAUUUCUCGCGAAUGUUUUUGGCAGUUUUUCUAAUGGUACAUACGACUGCAGAAUUAAGAGUCUGUCUAGUUCUUGAUAUGUUCGGAUGUGUCGACAAGCUUGCAACCAUGUUUUAAUCCAAUUUUGUCAAUGCUUCUUUUUAUGAUUACGUUCUUGCUCCUUUCUAAGCAAGUUCCUUCCUUGCGCUCUUCCUUGUCUUUCUCUCAACUGAUUUAUUUUCUUCGAUGCAUUGCUCUCGUUCUUAUUAACCAUAAUCUUACUUCAAACACUACUAAAAUCAUCCUCCAUUGCCAAUUUUCUCACACGUUUGAAAAUUAAUUCCUAACACUCAAAGCUAUUAUCACUCCCCGGUAGUGGCGCCAAAAUGUGAUUGCUUGUUUUACUUAUUUCGAAAGAAAUCUCCAAGAAUAAACUCGUAUAGGAGAAUUCGAACACAAAGAAUGACUAAUUACUUAAGCAUUCACGUUAGGGUCACAUAAUCAAUUACCUCCUGAAUGUAUCGUCUCUAUUUUUAAUAUCUGAACAUACAAGGAAAGUAUAAUCUCUUCUUUCACCUUAUCGGUCUCUUCCUUACAGCAAUUCAGCCAUACCAAUAAUUGCUAUUUCCACCAAUAUAUUCACCCGCAUAAUCUCCAACUGUAAUACUGUGCCCUCACAACUUUCAGCACAUAAUUACCCUCAUUCCAAUCACUGGAAUUCUUCACACAGAACUGCCAUUCACAUUACAAUGUUUCAUACAAACACAGACUUAUUCUCUCUGCUAAACUACAAUCAGAUUUCAGCAUUCAAUCUUUUUUUUUUUCAAAUAAUACCAAUCACAUUUCUAUUCCAUAAUUCACUUUACAAUAUUUAGAAACUCUCAAUCCUCUUAUUCAAAGAAAAUAACAAACAAAAGAAAAGAAGUAGCACUAAGCUUACCCCGGCUCACAACU